rnacentral:tmRNA from 1 species
GGGGCUGUUUUUGGUUUUUGACAGCAAGCCGAGUGGAUUUGUAAGCAUGCCGGGCAAUGUGGAUUCUCCCGUAAAAAGGUUUCACAACAACAACAAUUGGCGAUAACAAUUUCGCACUCGCAGCCUAAUCGAAGUUUAGUAGAUUGGCAUAAUCGCGCGCAAGGCGCGCGACGAGACGUUCCGCAGAUGGAGAAGCCUGAUUCCGGUCUGAUCACGGGGCGCAAGCAAAUUUCAGGCUGGUUCGGAGGAGGUCCCGGCCUCCGGAUAAGAUAAAGGGAAUAAGUUUUGGCUUGGGUGCCUUUUCCCGGGCCAAUCCCGACAACCAAUAAAAGGAUAAGCAUGUAGAAAGCACAUCUGUUCCUUGUUUGGACGCGGGUUCGAAUCCCGCCAGCUCCACAA